CUGGACACACACACACACACACUGGACACACACACACACACACUGGACACACACACACACACACACACACUGGCCACACACACACACUGGACACACACACACACACACACACUGGACACACACACACACACACUGGACACACACACACACACACACUGGACACACACACACACACACUGGACACACACACACACACACUGGACACACACACACACACUGGACACACACACACACUGGACACACACACACUGGACACACACACACACACACACACACUGGACACACACACACUGGACACACACACACACACACACACACACACUGGACACACACACACACACACUGGACACACACACACACACACUGGACACACACACACACACACACACACACACUGGACACACACAAACACACUGGACACACACACUGGACACACACACACUGGACACGCACACUGGACACGCACACAGACACACACACACACACACACACACAUUCUGGACACACACACACACACUGGACACACACACACACACACACACACACUGGACACACACAAACACACUGGACACACACACUGGACACACACACACUGGACACGCACACUGGACACGCACACAGACACACACACACACACACACACACACAUUCUGGACACACACACACACUCGACACACACACACACUGGGCACAUUCUCACACACACACACAGACACACACUGGACACACACACACACACACACACACUGAAAACACACACACACACACACACACUGAACACACACACACACACACACACACUGGACACACACAAACACACUGGACACACACUGGACACACACUGGACACGCACACUGGACACGCACACACACACUGGACACACACACACUGAAACAGACACACACACUAGUCACACAAACACACGCUGGCCACCCACUCAAACACAUACACACAAACACUGGGCAAACACACAGGACACACACACACACACUCACUGGACACACGCACUCACUCAAACGGGCAUACAAACACACUGGACACACACACACACUGGACAAACACACACUUCCUGGACACACAAACACUGAACACACACACACACACACACACACACACACACACACACACACACACACACACACACACACACACACACACACACACACACACUGAGACACACACUGAACACACAUAAACACUGACACACAUAAACACUGACACACACACACACUGGACACUCACGCAUGACAGGCUUGUAAUACUUUCUGAUCUUUUACCACUUUGCAUUUUUUAUGAUAUAUUUUACUGUUUGUGUUUGUACCACAGGAGGUUGGUGGGACCUUAUUUAGGGAGGACAGG
rnacentral:lncRNA from 1 species